rnacentral:rRNA from 1 species
GUGGGGAAUAUUGGGCAAUGGGCGAAAGCCUGACCCAGCAACGCCGCGUGAAGGAAGAAGGUCUUCGGAUCGUAAACUUCUAUCCUUGGUGAAGAUAAUGACGGUAGCCGAGAAGGAAGCCCCGGCUAACUACGUGCCAGCAGCCGCGGUAAUACGUAGGGGGCAAGCGUUGUCCGGAAUGAUUGGGCGUAAAGGGCGCGUAGGCGGCCUGGUAAGUCUGGAGUGAAAGUCCUGCUUUUAAGGUGGGAAUUGCUUUGGAUACUGUCGGGCUUGAGUGCAGGAGAGGUAAGUGGAAUUCCCGGUGUAGCGGUGAAAUGCGUAGAGAUCGGGAGGAACACCAGUGGCGAAGGCGACUUACUGGACUGUAACUGACGCUGAGGUGCGAAAGUUUGGGGAGCAAACAGGAUUAGAAACCCCAGUAGUCC